AGGUAACUGGAGGCUGGAUACUUCCAGGAAGGGGCUUGUCUCUGGAUAAGUCAAUGCUUCAACACCGAAAUUAUCAGGCUCAUGUUCAGUCUCUUGGGAGAGGGCAUGAACAAUGAUCCUGCUAGGGCCUUCAUGGCAAAUAUUUACCUUGAACUAACAGGGACCCCAAACGUCAGCUGUCCAGAGAAGGUACCUAGGGCAGUGGUGGUGGUCAAGAAGUUGCAAUAUUUACUCCUGGCUGAGUGUAGAGGUUCCUAAAGGCAAGAACGUGCAUCAGCUCUUCCUCCCAGUGCCUGUUAGCUCCACUGCUUUCAAAACUGGAGAAGGCGAGGGAAAGGAGUGUUGAGCAGGGAUGA